rnacentral:rRNA from 1 species
CACAUGCAGUCGAGCGGUAGAGAGAAGCUUGCUUCUCUUGAGAGCGGCGGACGGGUGAGUAAUGCCUAGGAAUCUGCCUGGUAGUGGGGGAUAACGUUCGGAAACGGACGCUAAUACCGCAUACGUCCUACGGGAGAAAGCAGGGGACCUUCGGGCCUUGCGCUAUCAGAUGAGCCUAGGUCGGAUUAGCUAGUUGGUGAGGUAAUGGCUCACCAAGGCGACGAUCCGUAACUGGUCUGAGAGGAUGAUCAGUCACACUGGAACUGAGACACGGUCCAGACUCCUACGGGAGGCAGCAGUGGGGAAUAUUGGACAAUGGGCGAAAGCCUGAUCCAGCCAUGCCGCGUGUGUGAAGAAGGUCUUCGGAUUGUAAAGCACUUUAAGUUGGGAGGAAGGGCAGUUACCUAAUACGUGAUUGUUUUGACGUUACCGACAGAAUAAGCACCGGCUAACUCUGUGCCAGCAGCCGCGGUAAUACAGAGGGUGCAAGCGUUAAUCGGAAUUACUGGGCGUAAAGCGCGCGUAGGUGGUUAGUUAAGUUGGAUGUGAAAUCCCCGGGCUCAACCUGGGAACUGCAUUCAAAACUGACUGACUAGAGUAUGGUAGAGGGUGGUGGAAUUUCCUGUGUAGCGGUGAAAUGCGUAGAUAUAGGAAGGAACACCAGUGGCGAAGGCGACCACCUGGACUGAUACUGACACUG